rnacentral:misc_RNA from 1 species
GAAAUGCGAUACGUAAUGUGAAUUGCAGAAUUCAGUGAAUCAUCGAAUCUUUGAACGCACAUUGCGCCCGCCAGUAUUCUGGCGGGCAUGCCUGUUCGAGCGUCAUUUCAACCAUCAAGCCCCCGGCUUGUGUUGGGGACCUGCGGCUGCCCGCAGGCCCUGAAAAACAGUGGCGGGCUCGCUGUCACACCGAGCGUAGUAGCAUACAUUCUCGCUCAGGGCGUGCUGCGGGUUCCGGCCGUUAAACGACCUUCAUAACCCAAGGUUGACCUCGGAUCAGGUAGGAAGACCCGCUGAACUUAAGC